UGAAAUGCGUAGAUAUUAGGAGGAACACCAGUGGCGAAGGCGGCUUCCUGGACAGAGACUGACACUGAGGCGCGAAAGCGUGGGGAGCGAACAGGAUUAGAUACCCUGGUAGUCCACGCUGUAAACGAUGGAUACUAGGUGUAGGUGGUAAGAAACCAUCUGUGCCGGAGUAAACACAAUAAGUAUCCCACCUGGGGAGUACAGCCGCAAGGUUGAAACUCAAAGGAAUUGACGGGGGCCCGCACAAGCAGUGGAGUAUGUGGUUUAAUUCGAAGCAACGCGAAGAACCUUACCAGGGCUUGACAUCCCUUGAACUAUCUAGAGAUAGGUAGGGCCUACGGGACAAGGAGACAGGUGGUGCAUGGUUGUCGUCAGCUCGUGUCGUGAGAUGUUGGGUUAAGUCCCGCAACGAGCGCAACCCUUAUAGCUAGUUGCCAGCAAUAAGAUGGGGACUCUAGCGAGACAGCCGUUGAGAAAACGGAGGAAGGAAAGGAUGACGUCAAAUCAUCAUGCCCCUUAUGCUCUGGGCUACACACGUACUACAAUGGCUACUACAGAGGGAAGCGAAGCCAGGAGGCGGAGCAAAUCUCAAAAAGGUAGUCCCAGUUCAGAUUGUAGGCUGAAACUCGCCUGCAUGAAGUAGGAAUUGCUAGUAAUUGCAGGUCAGAAUACUGCAGUGAAUACGUUCCCGGGCCUUGUACACACCGCCCGUCACACCAUGAGAGUCUGCAACACCCGAAGUCAGUAGUUUAACCGAAAGGAG
rnacentral:rRNA from 1 species